rnacentral:rRNA from 1 species
UACGUAGGGGGCAAGCGUUGUCCGGAAUCAUUGGGCGUAAAGCGCGCGUAGGCGGCCCGGUAAGUCCGCUGUGAAAGUCCAGGGCUCAACCCUGGAAUGCCGGUGGAAACUGCCGGGCUAGAGUCCGGAAGAGGCGAGUGGAAUUCCUGGUGUAGCGGUGAAAUGCGCAGAUAUCAGGAGGAACACCGAUGGCGAAGGCAGCUCGCUGGGACGGUACUGACGCUGAGGCGCGAAAGCGUGGGGAGCGAACAGG